rnacentral:rRNA from 1 species
UACGUAGGGAGCAAGCGUUGUCCGGAAUCAUUGGGCGUAAAGCGCGCGUAGGUGGCUUCGUAAGUCCGUUGUGAAAGUCAAAGGCUCAACCUUUGAAAGCCGAUGGAUACUGCGGAGCUAGAGUACGGAAGAGGCGAGUGGAAUUCCUGGUGUAGCGGUGGAAUGCGCAGAUAUCAGGAGGAACACCGGUGGCGAAGGCGGGUCUCUGGGCCGAUACUGACGCUGAGGAGCGAAAGCGUGGGGAGCAAACAGG